rnacentral:rRNA from 1 species
ACUACGGGUGGCAGCAGUGAGGAAUAUUGGUCAAUGGGCUGAAGCCUGAACCAGCCAAGUCGCGUGAGGGAAUAAGGCCCUACGGGUCGUAAACCUCUUUUGCCGGGGAGCAAGGGCGGGGACGUGUCCCGGCCCGGAGAGUACCCGGAGAAAAAGCAUCGGCUAACUCCGUGCCAGCAGCCGCGGUAAUACGGAGGAUGCGAGCGUUAUCCGGAUUUAUUGGGUUUAAAGGGUGCGUAGGCGGGCUUUUAAGUCAGCGGUAAAAAUGCGGGGCUCAACCCCUUCCGGCCGUUGAAACUGGGUGCCUUGAGUGGGCGAGAAGAAGGCGGAAUGCGUGGUGUAGCGGUGAAAUGCAUAGAUAUCACGCAGAACCCCGAUUGCGAAGGCAGCCUUCCGGCGCCCUACUGACGCUGAGGCACGAAAGCGUGGGGAGCAAACAGGAUUAGAUACCCGAGUAGUC